AAGGGCAUAGUUCAAUUGGCAGAACCGCGAACUUCAAAUUCGCUAGUGUGUGUUCAAAUCACGCUGUCCUUG
rnacentral:tRNA from 1 species